rnacentral:rRNA from 1 species
GACGAACCGUGCGAACGUUGUUCGGAAUCACUGGGCUUAAAGGGCGCGUAGGCGGGCUGGUAAGUCAGGGGUGAAAGCCCACGGCCCAACCGUGGAAGUGCCUUUGAUACUGCCGGUCUCGAGGGAGGUAGGGGCGUGCGGAACUUCCGGUGGAGCGGUGAAAUGCGUAGAUAUCGGAAGGAACACCGGUGGCGAAAGCGGCGCGCUGGACCUCUUCUGACGCUGAGGCGCGAAAGCCAGGGGAGCAAACGGG